AAUAGAUACCCGGGUAGUCCACCCCGUAAACGUUGGGAACUAGUUGUGGGGUCCUUUCCACGGAUUCCGUGACGCAGCUAACGCAUUAAGUUCCCCGCCUGGGGAGUACGGCCGCAAGGCUAAAAACUCAAAGGAAUUGACGGGGACCCGCACAAGCGGCGGAGCAUGCGGAUUAAUUCGAUGCAACGCGAAGAACCUUACCAAGGCUUGACAUACACCGGAAACGGCCAGAGAUGGUCGCCCCGCAAGGUCGGUGUACAGGUGGUGCAUGGUUGUCGUCAGCUCGUGUCGUGAGAUGUUGGGUUAAGUCCCGCAACGAGCGCAACCCUCGUUCUAUGUUGCCAGCACGUAAUGGUGGGAACUCAUGGGAUACUGCCGGGGUCAACUCGGAGGAAGGUGGGGAUGACGUCAAAUCAUCAUGCCCCUUAUGUCUUGGGGCUUCACGCAUGCUACAAUGGCCGGUACAAAGGGCUGCAAUACCGUGAGGUGGAGCGAAUCCCAAAAAGCCGGUCCAGUUCGGAUUGAGGUCUGCAACUCGACCUCAUGAA
rnacentral:rRNA from 1 species